GAACGUGAGAGAAUGAAGGCAAAGGGGGAAUCAAAGCUGGAAAGGCAGAAACAAGUGACCCAAGGCGCCUGCUUGGCACCAAACGACUCCUCAGGAUCCAAAUUCCCGGCAAAGCACAAACAACCAUGGAAAGAAACUGCUUGGAGUGCUUUCUGCCAUCUUCUCACCAAGUUCAGGAGUCAGCACUUCUCAAUGCGUCUCGUCUACACCAUGCACUAUAUAGGCACUUCUACAUACUGCCCAUUCUCAUUACUUAGGGUACUUACGCCCUACAAAAUCACUGCAGACCUCGAACCUCUGGUCAGAACAUUUUCAUUAACCAAUCAAUACAUAGCCUUGUUUUAUGAGCUUCUAUGAAGUAUGUAUCAUUGAUUCAUUAACAUUGAACUCACAGCCCACAACACUAUCAUUUCGGCCUGAACAAAGCUUAUCUAACAGACUUCUUUUCUCAGUAAAUCUCAUCACAGUCUUCUUGUGCUUAGGAGCAGGAGACACCACUUCAGUGCUAUGCUUGGGGACCAUUUUAGACAGUGAAAUCACCAAGAAAAAGCACAAAAAAUGCCAAAACCAUGGCACUAAAUAGACUGCAAAAAGGGCAUUUGUUUACAGCAUGAGGGCUGAAAGAAGAAGGAAGAGCAUGCCUUAUCCAGCCUCAGCUGGGAACGUGAUUUGAAUUUCUGCUGCUCUGUGCAUGUCUGCAAAUGACCCCAAAAACAUUGUAAAUAUUGAUUUGAGGGUUACAAAUACAUUUUUGUGAGUAGGCAAAUUUGCAAAUACAGAGGUCACAACUAACAGGACCAACUGUACAUUAUCUCAUUUACUUCUCCUAGCAAUUCUAUGUGGUAGGUAUUAUUAUUAUUAUUAUUAUUUGUAGAGACAGAGUCUCGCUUUGUUCCCUAGGCUGAUCUCAAACUCCUGGGCUCAAGCAAUCCUCUCUCCUCAGCCUCCCAAAGUGCUGGGAUUACAGGUGUGAGCCGCCAUGUCCAGCCUGUGGUGGGUAUUAUUAUUCCAAUUUUAAAGAUUAGAAAACUUGGGAGCUGGACACGGUGGCUCAUGUCUGUAAUCCAGUGACUCAGGAGGCUGAGCAGGAGGAUCCCUUUAGCCUAGGAUUUUGAGGCUGCAGUGAGUCCACCACUAGUCCAGCCAAGGUAACAUAGCAAGACUCAGCUUCUAAAAAAAAAAAAGGUUGGGAAACGGAGGCUCAGAGGGGUUUAUGUGAUUUGUACAAGGUGGUAUGGCUAACAAGUGGCAUUUGUAUGUCUCCCACAUCAAGCUUAAGACCUUUCACUUGGAUAAAACUCUACCAGAGAAGAUCAUCCUGCCUCAGUCAGUCUUUUAUUCUGUUAUCUAUUUGCCAUACCUAAAU
rnacentral:lncRNA from 1 species